rnacentral:misc_RNA from 1 species
GAUGAAGAACGUAGCGAAAUGCGAUAAGUAGUGUGAAUUGCAGAAUUCAGUGAAUCAUCGAAUCUUUGAACGCACAUUGCGCCCCUUGGUAUUCCAUGGGGCAUGCCUGUUCGAGCGUCAUUUGUACCCUCAAGCUUUGCUUGGUGUUGGGUGUUUGUCCCGCGUUGCGCGUGGACUCGCCUUAAAGCGAUUGGCAGCCGGCAUAUUGGCCUUGGAGCGCAGCACAUUUUGCGCUUCUAGUCAUGAAUGUUGGCGUCCAUUAAGCCUAUACAUUUGCUCUUGACCUCGGAUCAGGUAGGGAUACCCGCUGAACUUAAGCAUAUCAUAGCGGAGGA